GGAACCUGAAGGUGGAUAGGGAAGGGAGUAACGAAUGAUAGAGUCUUUUCUAUGAGGACGAGGAAGGCCAGUGCCAACACCUGAAGUGAAGAGGCCUCCUAAUGCUUUCUAGGAUCUGGAAGAAGUUCAGUGUGAGGACGAGUGUUAGGAAAUAAGGCUGAAGACAGAGGCAACCCUGGAGGAUCUUCUAACCCAUGUCAAGCAGUUGAGAAUUUAUGGAGUGAAAUAGCAAGCCAUUGAAGAGUUUCAAGGCUUUCAUCCAGCUUUUAAGGGAAACUAAUAUCUCAUGAAAUUGUGAGGGCCUGGAAUCUUCAAAGAGCCAAGGAUUCUGCCAGACUGAGCAAUAGACUUGAUGAGCAUUCUCCACUUAAGAUCUGAACUAUGAGAAGUCGAAUCAAAGCAGUUCUUUUGUAAUUCCAAACAGCCAUUUAGACAUAUGAAGAAAUGAAAGUAAAGCAGUUCUAAAGACAAGGAAGAGGGUCAAUGAAAGGUUGCAGGUGCUCCCAAUGCAAUCACAAAGAUCUUUAAAAGUGGAAGAAGGUGGGAGAGGUCAGAGUGAUACGAAGAGAACUCAGUCUACCACUGCUGGCUUUGAAGAUGGAAGAAUGGGGCUAUGAGCCCUGGAUUGCGGGCAGCCUGCAGAAGCUGGGGCAGAGAUUCCACACAGGCACCUCUAGAAAAUAAUGCAGCCAGCCAAUCCUUAGACUUUAUCCCAGUGAGAGUCAAGUUGGACUUCUGACCUACAAAAGAGGAAACAGCUUUUCCUGCUUUGGCAUCAAAACCAUAUCAACAAAAGCCCAAACCAGAACACACAGCUCAGUGGAAGAUGGAUACGCCCAUGUUUUCAAGGAUACAGCAAAAAGGCAGCCAUCUGAAAGGCAGGAAGAGAGCCCUUACCAGAAACCGAGCUCUGCUGGACCUUGUCCUUGGACUU
rnacentral:lncRNA from 10 species